rnacentral:rRNA from 1 species
UACGUAGGGGGCUAGCGUUGUCCGGAAUCAUUGGGCGUAAAGCGCGUGUAGGCGGUCCGGUAAGUCCGCUGUGAAAGUCGGGGGCUCAACCCUCGGAUGCCGGUGGAUACUGUCGGGCUUGAGUACGGAAGAGGCGAGUGGAAUUCCUGGUGUAGCGGUGGAAUGCGUAGAGAUCGGGAAGAACAUCAGUGGCGAAGGCGGUCUGCUGGGCCGUUGCUGACGCUGAGGCGCGACAGCGUGGGGAGCAAACAGG